rnacentral:rRNA from 1 species
UCCUCCUACGGGGGGCAGCAGUGAGGAAUAUUGGUCAAUGGGCGGAAGCCUGAACCAGCCAAGUCGCGUGAGGGAUUAAGGCCCUGCGGGUCGUAAACCUCUUUUGCCGGGGAGCAACGGGGUCCUUGCGAGGGCCCGAUGAGAGUACCCGGAGAAAAAGCAUCGGCUAACUCCGUGCCAGCAGCCGCGGUAAUACGGAGGAUGCGAGCGUUAUCCGGAUUUAUUGGGUUUAAAGGGUGCGUAGGCGGGCUGUUAAGUCAGCGGUCAAAUGUCGGGGCUCAACCCCGGCCUGCCGUUGAAACUGG